UGACUGAAGGGAGACUUGGACUUGGGAACCAACCCCUUCACCUUUCCCACGUACGCUCAUCUAAGGCAGCUCUGUGAAAUUCCAAAAAUCUAAGAGUGGAAGUUUAGAAAGUAAGCUGCAAGUGGAUAUCACCGAAUGAAAAGUAAAUUCCAUUACAUUCUUUUUCAAAAUGAAUUUGCACUCUUGGAUAGUAGGAUAGGGUGAAUAUUUAUAUGAAAUGUGUUAAUCAAGCUUUGAAUACUAUUGAUUUUGUUGCAUUCCUUUUAUAGGAAUAAGCUAAAUUCGCCCCAGAACCAGAACACAUAAACCAUCAGGAUUUAAUUUAAAUCAGUGAAUACUAGGCCCCAGCCUGCAUCCAGUGGACCAGUGAGGACCAGUUAGCCACCCAGUGAGCCCGCCCUCAUUCCUGGAUCCACUCUGCACAGGCACAGGUGGUCAUAAAGCUCAUUUUACUGAGCUCCAGAAGAGAGAACAGAAGUGAACAACUGCAAUAAAGGCACAUCAGAUCUCCAUAGUUGGGAGCGUGUCGCUGCUUUCUCACUAAGUCAAAAUUUGCAAGAUGAAAAGCAAGAAGUGCGUACUGACAAAGAGAUACCACUUAUAUUCCCAGCAUGCUCUGGAUCACUUUCUGACAUCCUUUUGAUCACAACAAACUUGUACUAAUGUAAUGGAGGUUAGAAUGGGAGACUUGGGUAUCUUGAUAAGGUGUUUCUCAGUGAAUUCUAUUCACUUAUAACUGGACACAUAAACUUAACAACAAUCCAUGUUUUCUAAAUGGUUAAGCAAAAAUGAAAAUUGACAAUAAACUAAGGACUGUUUUUCCUGUAAAGGUCAGAUACUUCUAAAGAAAAAUAUGGUAUGAUAGGAUUUAAUGUAUUCAGUACUAAUACCUGUCAUUCGGAGAAGA
rnacentral:lncRNA from 1 species